AACGAACGCUGGCGGCAUGCCUAACACAUGCAAGUCGAACGAGACCUUCGGGUCUAGUGGCGCACGGGUGCGUAACGCGUGGGAACCUGCCCUUAGGUUCGGAAUAACUCCCCGAAAGGGGUGCUAAUACCGGAUAAUGUCUUCGGACCAAAGAUUUAUCGCCUUUGGAUGGGCCCGCGUUGGAUUAGCUAGUUGGUAGGGUAAAAGCCUACCAAGGCGACGAUCCAUAGCUGGUCUGAGAGGAUGAUCAGACACACUGGGACUGAGACACGGCCCAGACUCCUGCGGGAGGAAGCAGUGGGGAAUAUUGGACGAUGGGCGAAAGCCUGAUCCAGCAAUGCCGCGUGAGUGAUGAAGGCCUUAGGGUUGUAAAGCUCUUUUACCCGGGAUGAUAAUGACAGUACCGGGCGAAUAAGCGCCGGCUAACUCCGUG
rnacentral:rRNA from 1 species